rnacentral:rRNA from 1 species
CACGUAGGGGGCAAGCGUUGUCCGGAUUUAUUGGGCGUAAAGAGCUCGUAGGUGGUUCGGUAAGUCAGGUGUGAAACCUCCAGGCUCAACCUGGAGACGCCACUUGAUACUGCUGUGACUGGAGUCCGGUAGGGGAGCGUGGAAUUCCUGGUGUAGCGGUGAAAUGCGCAGAUAUCAGGAGGAACACCAACGGCGAAGGCAGCUCGCUGGGACGGAACUGACGCUGAGGCGCGAAAGCGUGGGGAGCGAACAGG